AUUAGUAUUAGUUAUUUUCUUGAAAAUUAAAGAUUUUGGCGGUGUUUUAGUCUAUUCAGAGGAACCUGUUCUGUAAUUGAUAGUCCACGAUUUACUUUACUUAAAUAAUUUGUAUAUCGUCGUUAUUUUGAAUAUUUUAUAAGAAUUUUAAUGUUCAAUUUUUAAAAUAAAAAUUUAAAUCAGAUCAAGGUGCAGUUUAUAUUUAAGAAGAAAUGGGUUACAAUAAAUUUAUUUAAAUGGUUUGAUAAUUGAAAUUUUAUCAUUAAAUUGGGAAAGUAAAAUUCUUAAAUAAGCAGUUGAGAAGUA
rnacentral:rRNA from 1 species